UGUCAUGAUAAAUCCACCGUAUCAGGACCU
rnacentral:piRNA from 1 species